GGCAAAGCUAUGAAUGGAGACAGUAGUAAGUAUUUCCCUGUUUUAGAGAGCUGGUGGAAGCUGCAAACCAGUACAAAAAUACUUAUGAAUUACUUCCAAGAGCUUCCUCUGUGAACAAAUAUUAUUUGUAUAUUUAACUAGCAGUGGACGGUUAAUCCGUUAUAUUUCCGAGGUGGGAAGUAUUCAUUACUUUCAACAAGGGUGGUACCGCGAUCGUAAGUUCGUCCCUUCU
rnacentral:ncRNA from 1 species